GAGAGAAAAGCAAGUUGGCGCCAUCAGCCACACCCAUCUCCAGUGCACAGAACUGAUGCAACAGGACAGAAAGAGGGUCGGGGAGGAAGUGCUUUUCAACAAGAUGUUCACCCGCCAAACGACUGACUGGGAUCCUCUGUGCUCUGGGUGUUGCCUGUCCUCUGAAACAACUCUUUGUUCACAGGACGUCUUGGGUCAAGGCGCUUUGGAAAUGCAACUUGCUCAGAAACCCUCACUGUGCACUGAGCAUAGUUCCUGUGGGGCCCGUUUCAGUCCGGGAAGCCACCAGCAGUGUGCCGGGAAUCCAAGUCUCUGGGUGACGUGUUUACCUCCCAGCACCCUGCAGCGAUCUGAACCUUGACCUGGCAAACUGACCCUGGCCCGAGUCCCGCUGAGACUGCACCUGUGACGUCACUCCACCUCGGCCCACGGGGAGGUUGCAGACUUUUGUACUUAAAUGCUAGAAUUUAAGGAGACGGUCCUCUUCUCAUCAGCCACUCCAAGGUACACAAACAGACUGAAUGAGUGUAUUGGGUCUGUGUGGUAUUGAGGAUACUGCCCUCAGUGUAACUCAAACUACACUGCUUGCUUAGAAGUGACUAAGAGCACAGCAUCCUGACAGCUGCGUUAGAAAUGUGACAAUAAGCUAAGACCACAUACUGCCGUCAUUCCUGUUGGCAUCCUGAACUCUUCCUACGGCUUUGUUGCUGACCCCCUUCCUGUUCAGUUAUUAGCCUAUCGACAUUUUCAUUCCUUGCUUUCACUUAAAUCCAUUUUCGAUUCCCAACCCAUUCUUGGUUGCUAUCUACUGGAUUACCAACAAUAAGCAGACGGAUGCAAUUCUUUCUGCUAACAAAGCUGACCUGCAACACUAAAAACCCAAGGUAACACAAAUGAGACCACGGGCUUCAUCUCCUAGUGCCUGCCAAGAAGCACAAGUGUUAGACUUGAGAAUCAGGGACUCCUAGACACUCUCUUCCCUCUCUCCAACAUCAUCGGCACACGCUCUGGCCCUCCAAUCUACAUCCAGCUGUUCAUUUAUGCAGCCCCCUGUACCUCUUCCCAAGAUAACUCUUUCAAUUUCAAUUAUUUGCAUAUGCAU